rnacentral:rRNA from 1 species
UAUUGGACAAUGGGCGAAAGCCUGAUCCAGCCAUGCCGCGUGGGUGAUGAAGGCCCUAGCGUUGUAAAGCCCUUUCGGCGGGGAAGAUAAUGACGGUACCCGCAGAAGAAGCCCCGGCCAACUUCGUGCCAGCAGCCGCGGUAAUACGAAGGGUGCAAGCGUUACUCGGAAUUACUGGGCGUAAAGCGUGCGUAGGUGGUUGUUUAAGUCUGUUGUGAAAGCCCUGGGCUCAACCUGGGAACUGCAGUGGAAACUGGACAACUAGAGUGUGGUAGAGGGUAGCGGAAUUCCCGGUGUAGCAGUGAAAUGCGUAGAGAUCGGGAGGAACAUCCAUGGCGAAGGCAGCUACCUGACCAACACGACACUGAGGCACGAAA